ACACAGAAGGGUUGAAAACAGGACAGAAUUAGAAAAUCAACUAAAAUAAUGUACUUAUUAUGUAAUGUAUGCGAAUCCCUACUCCCACCAACACGUGGCCUGUUCAUUUUUGCCUAGUUUCUAGAUGAGCAAUUUGGGUCCUAGUAACAUCACCCACCUUGAGGGUGCAGUUUUUAAAUACUAGCACCCCCAAAACUACAUAAGUAUGGGUCCUGUAACAUUUCCUGGACAUUUCUUUAUUUAAUACGCCCUAAAAAUAUGCUUAGGCUACCCGUGGACUCCACGAGGAACUUGCAAUUCUUCAGACAUGCAAUUUGUGUUUUGGGGAUGUCAGAGUGACUGAAACAGCCUCACAAAUUCACAAGCUCCCCAAGCAUUACUUGUAGAGGAAAAAUGUCACUAUACAUCAUUUUAAGAAUUUAGAAAUGCUGUUUGGGGACAUCUGAUUCCCAGGACACACACAGCAAGAACACAAAAGGAAAAGAAAAACAAACAAGGAAAACAGAAAAUCUCAUUAGGCGGAGCAGUUAUCCUUGAAGACUCCACAACAUAGAACCCCAAAAGGGAAUAGAAUUGAGAUCAUUUCUAAUGAGUUCCAAUCUCUGCCUAGGAUCAUUCACUCUGUGGGAUGCCAGCUGCAAGGAGGACACUAAAAGGAGGAAUACGCCAGAAUCCAUAUGGCAAGGAUCUGAGGCCUCUUGCCAACUGCCACCCUCAACUUGUCAGUCAUGAGAAUAUGCCAUCUUUGGAGCAGAACCUCCAGCCCCAGUCCAGCUUUCAGGUGACUGUGGCCCUGGCCAACACACUGACACCUCAUGUGAUAUCCUGUGGCCAGACCACCUAGCUAAGACAGCUCCUGGAUUCCUGACCCUCAGAGACUGUAUGAGAUAAUAAAUAUUUACUAUGGUUUUAAGCCAUUA